rnacentral:rRNA from 1 species
AGCGAACGCUGGCGGCAGGCUUAACACAUGCAAGUCGAGCGGGCACUUCGGUGUCAGCGGCAGACGGGUGAGUAACACGUGGGAACGUGCCCUUCGGUUCGGAAUAACUCAGGGAAACUUGAGCUAAUACCGGAUACGCCCUUUUGGGAAAGGUUUACUGCCGAAGGAUCGGCCCGCGUCUGAUUAGCUAGUUGGUGGGGUAAGUGGCCUACCAAGGCGACGAUCAGUAGCUGGUCUGAGGGGANGAUCAGCCACACUGGGACUGAGACACGGCCCAGACUCCUACGGGAGGCAGCAGUGGGGAAGUAUUGGACAAUGGGCGGCAAGCCUGAUCCAGCCAUGCCGCGUGAGUGAUGAAGGCCUUAGGGUUGUAAAGCUCUUUCGACGGGACGAUAAUGACGGUACCCGUAGAAGAAGCCCCGGCUAACUUCGUGCCAGCAGCCGCCGUAAU